rnacentral:rRNA from 1 species
CAAACGGGUGCGGAACACGUACGCAACCUUCCUUUAACUGGAGAAUAGCCCCUCGAAAGAGGGAUUAAUACUCCGUAACAUAUUGAUAAGGCAUCUUAUUAAUAUUAUAGCUCCGGCGGUUAAAGAUGGGCGUGCGCCUGAUUAGGUAGUUGGCGGGGUAACGGCCCACCAAGCCUGCGAUCAGUAACUGGUGUGAGAGCACGACCAGUCACACGGGCACUGAGACACGGGCCCG